CACCAGGAACUGAGUAUAAACACGUUGAAGACAAAGAAAAGAAAAAAAGAAUGGAAGCAGCCAGAAGAGAUUUUUCAGAGGUCACCUCAGCUGGCUGAGGGAGCCAACCUGAUGUUAGCAGGAGAGUGAGAAGGAUGAAAUAAAAAAAACCUUUGAAGCUUUCAGGAAAGGCAAUCCAGUCCCUGCCAUAUCUGCUCCGAUAUUAGCAUCUGAGUUGCUGGAGUUACUUGUCUGGUAUCUUUUAUGAGCACUGCUUAUACACAAAAUAGUCUUCUGUGCCCCCUUUUAAUGAAUGUGUUUUGGAAAGUAAAUUUCUUUUCUAAUUGUUUAAAAUGUACUAACAACUUUAUAGAAAAGGAUACAUAUAAAACAACUUGGUAGAGCCUUUGGAUCUUCAGUUGUCAUUAGUGUACGACAUACCAGUAUCUGCUCCUUGUGGUAAUGGCUGUGAAUCAUUGGUGUGUAAAUUGUUUGAUGACCACUCAUCCCUUUGCAAUGUGCCCUAGAUGUUCCCCACAUCAAAAUAUGGAGUCUGUUGCCUCUCUUCUUGAGGCCCUAUGACUGGCUUUGACCAAGAGAUUACAGUAUCUGCUCUUGCCCUCUUGCAAUGUGCCACAAAGAUGUGAAGAAACUUGCCCUAGCCUGCUUCCUGUGAGAGACCAUGCUCAGAGAGAAAGGCCCACCCUUCAGCCAGCACCAAACCCCAGACAUCUACAGACGAGUCUGCAUGAGUGA